rnacentral:rRNA from 1 species
AUCUGCCCUAAAGACUGGGAUACCACUUGGAAACAGGUGCUAAUACCGGAUAACAACAUGAAUCGCAUGAUUCAAGUUUGAAAGGCGGCGCAAGCUGUCACUUUAGGAUGAGCCCGCGGCGCAUUAGCUAGUUGGUGGGGUAAAGGCCUACCAAGGCAAUGAUGCGUAGCCGAGUUGAGAGACUGAUCGGCCACAUUGGGACUGAGACACGGCCCAAACUCCUACGGGAGGCAGCAGUAGGGAAUCUUCCACAAUGGACGCAAGUCUGAUGGAGCAACGCCGCGUGAGUGAAGAAGGUCUUCGGAUCGUAAAGCUCUGUUGUUGGUGAAGAAGGAUAGAGGCAGUAACUGGUCUUUAUUUGACGGUAAUCAACCAGAAAGUCACGGCUAACUACGUGCCAGCAGCCGCGGUAAUACGUAGGUGGCAAGCGUUGUCCGGAUUUAUUGGGCGUAAAGCGAGCGCAGGCGGAAUGAUAAGUCUGAUGUGAAAGCCCACGGCUCAACCGUGGAACUGCAUCGGAAACUGUCAUUCUUGAGUGCAGAAGAGGAGAGUGGAACUCCAUGUGUAGCGGUGGAAUGCGUAGAUAUAUGGAAGAACACCAGUGGCGAAGGCGGCUCUCUGGUCUGCAACUGACGCUGAGGCUCGAAAGCAUGGGUAGCGAACAGGAUUAGAUACCCUGGUAGUC